rnacentral:rRNA from 1 species
AAAUUGAAGAGUUUGAUCAUGGCUCAGAUUGAACGCUGGCGGCAGGCCUAACACAUGCAAGUCGAGCGGUAGCACAGGAGAGCUUGCUCUCUGGGUGACGAGCGGCGGACGGGUGAGUAAUGUCUGGGAAACUGCCUGAUGGAGGGGGAUAACUACUGGAAACGGUAGCUAAUACCGCAUAACCUCGCAAGAGCAAAGAGGGGGACCUUCGGGCCUCUCGCCAUCAGAUGUGCCCAGAUGGGAUUAGCUAGUAGGUGAGGUAAUGGCUCACCUAGGCGACGAUCCCUAGCUGGUCUGAGAGGAUGACCAGCCACACUGGAACUGAGACACGGUCCAGACUCCUACGGGAGGCAGCAGUGGGGAAUAUUGCACAAUGGGCGCAAGCCUGAUGCAGCCAUGCCGCGUGUGUGAAGAAGGCCUUCGGGUUGUAAAGCACUUUCAGCGGGGAGGAAGGCGGUAAGGUUAAUAACCUUAUCGAUUGACGUUACCCGCAGAAGAAGCACCGGCUAACUCCGUGCCAGCAGCCGCGGUAAUACGGAGGGUGCAAGCGUUAAUCGGAAUGACUGGGCGUAAAGCGCACGCAGGCGGUCUGUUAAGUUGGAUGUGAAAUCCCCGGGCUUAACCUGGGAACUGCAUUCAAAACUGACAGGCUAGAGUCUUGUAGAGGGGGGUAGAAUUCCAGGUGUAGCGGUGAAAUGCGUAGAGAUCUGGAGGAAUACCGGUGGCGAAGGCGGCCCCCUGGACAAAGACUGACGCUCAGGUGCGAAAGCGUGGGGAGCAAACAGGAUUAGAUACCCUGGUAGUCCACGCUGUAAACGAUGUCGACUUGGAGGUUGUGCCCUUGAGGCGUGGCUUCCGGAGCUAACGCGUUAAGUCGACCGCCUGGGGAGUACGGCCGCAAGGUUAAAACUCAAAUGAAUUGACGGGGGCCCGCACAAGCGGUGGAGCAUGUGGUUUAAUUCGAUGCAACGCGAAGAACCUUACCUACUCUUGACAUCCAGAGAAUUUGCUAGAGAUAGCUUAGUGCCUUCGGGAACUCUGAGACAGGUGCUGCAUGGCUGUCGUCAGCUCGUGUUGUGAAAUGUUGGGUUAAGUCCCGCAACGAGCGCAACCCUUAUCCUUUGUUGCCAGCGAUUCGGUCGGGAACUCAAAGGAGACUGCCGGUGAUAAACCGGAGGAAGGUGGGGAUGACGUCAAGUCAUCAUGGCCCUUACGAGUAGGGCUACACACGUGCUACAAUGGCGUAUACAAAGAGAAGCGACCUCGCGAGAGUAAGCGGACCUCAUAAAGUACGUCGUAGUCCGGAUUGGAGUCUGCAACUCGACUCCAUGAAGUCGGAAUCGCUAGUAAUCGUAGAUCAGAAUGCUACGGUGAAUACGUUCCCGGGCCUUGUACACACCGCCCGUCACACCAUGGGAGUGGGUUGCAAAAGAAGUAGGUAGCUUAACCUUCGGGAGGGCGCUUACCACUUUGUGAUUCAUGACUGGGGUGAAGUCGUAACAAGGUAACCGUAGGGGAACCUGCGGUUGGAUCACCUCCUUACC